rnacentral:rRNA from 1 species
UACGUAGGGAGCAGGCGUUGUCCGGAAUCAUUGGGCGUAAAGCGCGCGUAGGUGGCCUCAUAAGUCCGCUGUGAAAGUCAAAGGCUCAACCUUUGAAAGCCGGUGGAUACUGUGAGGCUAGAGUACGGAAGAGGCGAGUGGAAUUCCUGGUGUAGCGGUGGAAUGCGCAGAUAUCAGGAGGAACACCGGUGGCGAAGGCGGGUCUCUGGGCCGAUAUUGACGCUGAGGAGCGAAAGCGUGGGGAGCGAACAGG